GAUGAACGCUGGCGGCGUGCCUAAUACAUGCAAGUCGAGCGAACAGACGAGGAGCUUGCUCCUCUGACGUUAGCGGCGGACGGGUGAGUAACACGUGGAUAACCUACCUAUAAGACUGGGAUAACUUCGGGAAACCGGAGCUAAUACCGGAUAAUAUAUUGAACCGCAUGGUUCAAUAGUGGAAGACGGUUUUGCUGUCACUUAUCGAUGGAUCCGCGCCGCAUUAGCUAGUUGGUAAGGUAACGGCUUACCAAGGCAACGAUGCGUAGCCGACCUGAGAGGGUGAUCGGCCACACUGGAACUGAGACACGGUCCAGACUCCUACGGGAGGCAGCAGUAGGGAAUCUUCCGCAAUGGGCGAAAGCCUGACGGAGCAACGCCGCGUGAGUGAUGAAGGUCUUCGGAUCGUAAAACUCUGUUAUUAGGGAAGAACAAAUGUGUAAGUAACUAUGCACGUCUUGACGGUACCUAAUCAGAAAGCCACGGCUAACUACGUG
rnacentral:rRNA from 1 species